rnacentral:rRNA from 1 species
UACAGAGGUCUCAAGCGUUGUUCGGAUUCAUUGGGCGUAAAGGGUGCGUAGGUGGCGCCGUAAGUCGGGUGUGAAAUCUUGGAGCUUAACUCCGAAACUGCAUUCGAUACUGCCGUGCUUGAGGACUGGAGAGGAGACUGGAAUUUACGGUGUAGCGGUGAAAUGCGUAGAUAUCGUAAGGAAGACCAGUGGCGAAGGCGGGUCUCUGGACAGUUCCUGACGCUGAGGCACGAAGGUCAGGGGAGCAAACGGGG